rnacentral:rRNA from 1 species
AGAGUUUGAUCAUGGCUCAGAACGAACGCUGGCGGCGUGGAUAAGACAUGCAAGUCGAGCGGGAUUUUCUUUGGUAGCAAUACCGAAGGAAAUUCAGCGGCGAACGGGUGCGUAACACGUGGGCAAUCUGUCUUAAAGUGGGGGAUAGCUCGGCGAAAGCCGAAUUAAUACCGCAUGUGAUCAGGGAAGACAUCUUUCCGAAAUCAAAGGUGGCGCAAGCUACCGCUUUUUGAGGGGCCCGCGGCCUAUCAGCUUGUUGGUGAGGUAACGGCUCACCAAGGCGUUGACGGGUAGCUGGUCUGAGAGGACGACCAGUCACACUGGGACUGAGACACGGCCCAGACACCUACGGGUGGCAGCAGUCGAGAAUUUUUGACAAUGGGGGAAACCCUGAUCGAGCGACGCCGCGUGGAGGAUGAAGGUCUUCGGGUUGUAAACUCCUGUCAUUUGGGAACAAGGCGUAGGUAUUAACUGUGCCUACGUUGAUAGUACCAGAAGAGGAAGAGACGGCUAACUCUGUGCCAGCAGCCGCGGUAAUACAGAGGUCUCAAGCGUUGUUCGGAUUCAUUGGGCGUAAAGGGUGUGUAGGUGGCGCGCUAAGUCGGGUGUGAAAUUUCGGAGCUUAACUCCGAAACUGCAUUCGAUACUGGCGUGCUUGAGGACUGGAGAGGAGACUGGAAUUUACGGUGUAGCAGUGAAAUGCGUAGAUAUCGUAAGGAAGACCAGUGGCGAAGGCGGGUCUCUGGACAGUUCCUGACACUGAGACACGAAGGCCAGGGGAGCAAACGGGAUUAGAUACCCUAGUAGUCC